GUGAGGAAUAUUGCGCAAUGGAGGCAACUCUGACGCAGCCAUGCCGCGUGCAGGAAGAAGGCGCUACGCGUUGUAAACUGCUUUUAACCGGGAAGAAACCCCAGGACGUGUCCUGGGUUGACGGUACCGGAGGAAUAAGCACCGGCUAACUUCGUGCCAGCAGCCGCGGUAAUACGACGGGUGCAAGCGUUAUCCGGAUUCAUUGGGUUUAAAGGGUGCGUAGGCGGAGCGUUAAGUCAGUGGUGAAAUCCUGCAGCUUAACUGUAGACUUGCCAUUGAUACUGGCGCUCUUGAGUGCGCUUGAAGUGGGCGGAAUGUGCCGUGUAGCGGUGAAAUGCUUAGAUAUGGCACAGAACACCAAUUGCGAAGGCAGCUCACUAAGGCGAUACUGACGCUGAGGCACGAAAGCGUGGGGAUCGAACAGGAUUAGAAACCCUGGUAGUCC
rnacentral:rRNA from 1 species